CCUUCAUAGGAGACAUUCUGGUUCUUAGCUCACCUGUGUCCUGUGUUGUCUUUCAGACCAGAGGAAGGCAGCUUACCUGGCUGCCUGGAGGAAGGCCCAGCUGUAUGCAGAUUGGCGGAAGAGGCAGUUCCGGGCCUGGCCUGUCACUCUGGAUCCAGGUUCUUGCCAUCGGGGAAUUGCCCUCUCUCAUGACAAGAAGAGUCUGACCUGUCAUCACACUGGAAUGGAAGGAGGAUACAGUGUUUGUGGUCUUGAGGGCAUCACAUCAGGGCGCUGUUACUGGGAGGUAGAGGUCAGGAAUGCAGACAGAACUGCGUGGGUUCUGGGGGUUUAUAGGAAAGGUGAGAAAAUUAAAUACAGUGCUCCAUCCCCACGGAACGGGAAAUGGGUUUUUGGCCGGCACAACAACGUUUUCAAAGCCUUCAAUGACCCUCGUACUCCGCUACCCCUUAGGCAGGUUCCCCACAGGCUGGGGGUUUUUCUGGACUAUGAUCAUGGGGAUGUCUCCUUCUAUGACAUGACUGAUGGCUCCCACAUCUUCUCCUUCCCUCCUGAGUCCAUCUCUGGGACCCUCUUUCCAUACUUUGGGUGUUAUUCAGGAGACGUGUCCAUGACCCUCUGCCCCCUGGAGGCUGGACCCCAGAAGCCCUCUGUGCCAUUGUAACAGGGUGGUCCCCAGGAAAGGGGGAGGUUCCAGGUUCCCUGCCCCACCCAAGGGAGGGUGGAGCUGAGCAGGCAGAAAAGAAGCUGGAGAGACUGAGGAAGGAAGGAAGCAGGAGGGAGCCAGAAGGAGACCUGGAGGAGUCACAUGGAAUAGGGAAACACGUGAGGAAACUGCGCUUGCCUUUUGGUUAUGGACGGCGUGACACAGAUGUGGGUGAGACCCGUGGGGUGGGGACAAUGGCAGCUUUUAUCUUGAUUUUGAUUUUGUUCUUUCCUUCUGGGCUUGUCUGGUUGUUUCUGACCCUUUUCUGUGGGUCCCCACUGGCAGAUGCUUUAGACUUGUAGCAGGCUUUGGGGCCUUGCUCUGGGCCAAUCCCAUUUGGAUGGAGUUUUACCCACGAGGGGACGGGUAACUUUGGGUGCUUCAUUUAGAAACUAGAUUCUUUAUCUUUCCUGUAUUGUUUCCUAGUUGUAUUAAAGUUCCUUCCCAUUAAAGUCUCAUAUGUUUUGUGUUGAUGCUGUGGAUGGCAGAAUCCAUUUAAAAUAGGCAGGUUUACAGGGUCUGGGCUGCCCCUCUCCCUGCCC